AACAUCUUCUUACCAAAAAGUGCAAAGUUAAGGAGAUACGUUCUGCGCAUGCGCAGCCCUAUCUCCUUAAAUACGCAUAAUUUGUUAAAAGGAUAUUAAGCAAAGUUGUAGCCCUCAUCAAGACGAACAACUUUCGUUAACAUCUUCUUACCAAAAAGUGCAAAGUUAAGGAGAUACGUUCUGCGCAUGCGCAGCCGUAUCUCCUUAAAUACGCAUAAUUUGUUAAAAGGAUAUU
rnacentral:miRNA from 1 species